AACUUUCACCUUCUUGAACCGACGCUAUCUUGUUUGAAAAUGGAGAGCGGAGCCGAUUUGACCAAUCAGCGAUUAGAGGAAAUACCGGAAUCAAGGAAUUCAAAACCUUUAUGACUUCAAAUGAUUAAAAAUCGUAAAGUAUAUACGUGAGAUUUUUUUUAGUUAUUCAUCAGUUUUGCUGAAAUUGAUCAGGAACAAUCAAACGUAUUUUUAUUUUUACGUAAAUACCCGAUUCGCACACUUCCGGUUAUUCCGGAUGUAAACGAAGAAGGCGCCAUUUUAAAAACAAAGAUUGAAAUAAAAUUAAAAGCGAAACACUCGUCACUGCUCCGAAGCUAUGUACCCUCACAAACGUGGUAGCUACCAGGUUUUCCAUGCCGAUAAGUCUAAUCCAACACUCAAAGUAUCCCUUUGGCGAAUGCAACAAGGAAAAGACAACAUUUCAUCAGAAAAUUUCGACAAUCGAAGUGUGGCGUGUGAAACUGCUGGCCCUGUCGCCAUUAUGAUUAUCGAUGCCUUUCAUGAGAAAUCAUUUAACCAGUUGCUUCAAGAUGUUGCUGAAGAACCUGCUUUCUUGCCAUAUCAUAUAUGUUGACGGAGAUUCAGAAUGAGACAAAGAGUUUGAUAUAUGAUCCUACACCUGACAGAAAAAGUUGAGGAUCUUGGACCACUUUGGUGCUCAUCUUGUUUCUAUUUUGAGGAUUGUAAUGGAUAAUUGAGAUGCCUUUUCCAUGGCAUCCAACAUAUUGAAACCCAAAUAGCAUUUGCGGUUUGUGUUCAUCAGCAGCUACUGACGUUGUCCCAAGCUCUGAAGUUUGACAGCAGUGAAAGGGAACAGACAGGGUUGCUGUUAUUGGAGCCUAUGUAAAAGACCUUUGAAAUCUGAGGAACAAGCAGUCCUUUUGACCUUAGCUGGAGAGUAGGUCCGUGUGGUUUUCUUCAAAAGACUACUUGUGGACGAACAGGUUGAGACAACAAAAUAAUUCGAUUCAAGGAAACGUUCAUUGGGAGAUUAGAAACUUUUGUUAAAGUAACAGGACAUGACUACAAAUGAAAAACUUUGUUUUGUUUUCACAGUUCCUAACAGGAUUGAACAGGAAUAUAACAUGAACAUGUUCAAUGUCCAGAACAGAGACAUCAUUUAACAGUCAUACCUUGUUUUGUGUCACAUUUACCAAUGAGAUUUGAAUAUAGAAAUAUUUUUUGAUACUUUUUUGGAAAAGACGUUUUUAUAUAUAUGCCUUAAUUUGAUUUUGAUAGACUAUGCAUACCUAAAUUGAUGAAUAGUGUCUCUUUUAACAUGGAACAGAAGUCCAUAUGGACUUAUUUUUAAUAAAUACUGUGACAUAUCUCA